AAAAUGCCAGAAGAGAACCAGAGAAAUAUGUCAAGAAACAUAGGAGGCAUGAUACUGAUUCAGAUUCAGACAGAAAUGCUCAGGACAAGCAAAAAACUAGUGGGGAGGCAAUGGACAAAAAAUAAGAGACAUGACUCUGAUUCAGAUUCAGACAGAAAUGCUCAGGACAAGAAAAAACAUGUGGGGAGGCAAUGGACAAAAAAUAAGAGACACGACUCUGAUGAUUCGGAACCAGAAACUGAUGAUGAUGAGAAAAGCAGAAAGCAAGCAGACAAACAUCGCAGACCCAUUGGAAGGUACAAGAGCAGCGACUCUGAAUCUGACGAUCGAAAGAAAAAUGCCAUCAAUUAUAGGAAACAUGGAAAAAGCAGAAGAAGGCAUGAUUCUGAAGAUUCAGAAUAUGAUACUGAUGAUGAAAAGAAAAGGAGAACAAAGGGGACGGGGAAACAUGGUGAAUCCAGCAAAAGACGCAAGACCAAUGACUCAGAUACUGACAGUGAAAAGAAAAUUGCCAUCAAUCUCAAGAAACAUGAGAACAACAGAAGGAGACAUGAUUCUGAGGAUCCAGAUUAUGAUACUGAAGAUGAAAAGAACCUAAAAAAAGGGAUGGAGAGUAGCAAACUAAGCAGAUGGCAUAUGAAUUAUGAUUUUGACUCUGACAGUGAAAAGAAAAAUAAGAGCAGAAAACAUAGUGCUUCUCAUGAAUCUCAUCAUGUUAGAUCAAGGAAGGUUGCUGAAGGGAAAACACGUGGUAACAGGAGAAUGGGGAGAAGGCAUGAUACUGAUGAUGAGAGCUCCUAUACUGAUAGUGGUAAUGAAACUGCUGGCAAUCAAGUUGUGAAAUACAGUAAAUCUAAACAGAAGCAAGAUUCAGUGACUGAUGACAGUGGAAGCCAGAGCUCUUACUCAUAGCAGUGACACAAAUUCUGAUAAUAGCAAUAGGCCCGUGAAGCAGGAUAGGAGAAAAACAGGCAGGCGGGAUAAUAACAGAAAUGCUGGAAGUGAGCGUCAAAAUGGUAAUGACAGUAUUAAGAGAGAAUACUCAGAUAUUCCAAAGAAGGCUGAAAGAACUAACCAGUUUGAAUCAAGGCAAGAUAGGAAGGACAUUGAUGACCAUGGAAGCCAGGAAGCAAAGAAAAGGAGAGAGGCUGUACAUGGUCGCCCAUCUGCUGGUGUACGGGAAUCGAAAUCUACUAGUGUUGGUUUAGUAGAAGGGGAGAGAAGGAGAGAGAGUGAGAGCAGAGGUCAUAAGAACUACCAUGGAAGCCGAGAAGAACGGAAGAGGGAGGACAACUCCAUAUUGCAAAAAGUUGGUGAUAAACGGGCAUUAGAAGAACAUGUAAAUGAAGAUAAGUAUGGUAGCAGAAGGUACAGUAAAGAUGAGCAGAGCUAUGAUGGUGCUAAGAGGAGAAGAUAUGAAGAUUCUCGGCAGCACCGAAGGCAUGAUAGGUAUGACCAUCGUUCCACUGAAGAUGCGGGCCGGCGCAGGCACUGAUGCGCCUGUUCUUGUACCUGAAAUGGUGAGCAUUAUUUUGCUUACACUUCCCAGAAAAUCUUAAUGUGGUCUGACCAGAAUUUCCAACCAUCUCAAAUGGUUGCACCUUUUUAAUCAUAAUUUAAGAAAUGGUGAACAUUAUUAUUUGCUUCCUAGAAAAUAUAAUGUGGUCUGACCUGAAUUUCCCAAAUGGUUGCACCUUUUCAAUCAUAACUCAACAAAUAAGAAUCAAUUGUCCGUGGCAUGCAAAAUGAAGUGUUAUUGUAUCAUUCACUCCAAAAAAACAGAAUGUAUAAUUUUAUCAUGAAUAGUACAUCUACAUGUAGAUGGCUGUCUUAUCGUAAGAAAUGCUGCUUUUUGCUUGGUUCUCUUUUGCAUGGACAAUCUGGCCGCAAUCUUGAUGUGAUCUGCAAAAGGAAUUACAUACAAUUCAGUUGAAAUAGCGAUUGGAGCUUCUUCUGCAACAUAUUUUUAUUUUAGGAAAGAAGAAAUAUAUGAAUUAUGAGAAACAUCUCCUGAGAGCUAUGGAGUUUUACUUGCCGGUGUAGCUUUCUUGUAUUCCGUAUCUGAAGAUAGAGCUGUUUUGGAGAAGGCAGCCCCAUCAAACUAUAUUUAAGGCUUUCUAUCUUUCUCGUAUGCAAUAUGAUUGCUCUAGCUGAAUUUCUAACAUUUUAUUUUAUUUUCCUCUUGUAGGUGAGGCAUGGCUUGUGGUAGAGAAUGAGCUUUGAAGCGUAAAAUUCUGUGGCGUCUUUGGUUAUGUACUUGAUGUUGUAGUGGCUGCAAACCUGUUCCUGGCAGCAAAAAAUAAUUAAAACUUGAUUAGGGUGUUCCAUAAUAUGCUUGCACUUGCAACCAUGUAAUGGGGUCUAACUUUGAUUAUGGUGUUCCAUAAUAUGCUCGCACUUGCAAUCAGGUAAUGUUCUAGGUUUCCUUCAAUGAGUAUUUUAUCCGAAUUACCAUUAAGAUUCACUAUAUGCCUGUGGCAGAACUGGUUCAGGAAUACCAUGUUUGUUAAAAGCAGCAUGNNNNNNNNNNNNNNNNNNNNNNNNNNNNNNNNNNNNNNNNNNNNNNNNNNNUACCCGAGUCCUCAUUGUAAUAGACACUAGUACCACGACUCACUGGUGAAGGAAAGAAUCAUAACUCAAAGCAUAUUUUUAUGUCACAUGAAACAGUAACUCAUGAUUACUCUAGCAAUCUCUCUUUGUGUUUAUCCCUCGGUUUGUUAAAAGCAUUUUGCAUUCUUUUGUGUAAUAGCAGGAUUUCUGCAGUCAACCGUUUGCCAUUCAAACCAGAUGGAUAUUUUCUUAUGCAAGUAGACAGCUUCACACCACUGCAACAUGGUUAUUAUAAGGUUGGGUCCAUGGUGAUUGCGAUGCUUCCCCACAUCCUUGCAUGUAAACUAUUUGGCAUGCGGUAGACCGAUUACAUGGUUUCAGGAUCAUGAGAAUAUACAUGAUGAGGGGCAACCAGUCAGCUGAUUGUUAAUGGUUAGAGCGAGCAUAGCUAAAAUUUUUCUGUUUGUAUCAAAAUCUGGCAUACCGACUUGUUCCCUCUGUAUUGACCAUAUGAUACCAGCAAAGCACCAAUACAUUAACAAGUUUCAGUUUGGCGAAUGAGCCAGAGUUGAUCCGUACUAGCUCAAAUUGGGUGCAACCACGUCCGUUGUAGAACUGGACCACCCGAUUUCCGGCGGUAUCAUGUCUAAAAAUGAGGAGCCAAACUCAUCAUCGAUCUCAAGAGGAUCGGGAUUUCAUCCGUUACGGUAUUUUGUGCGCGCCCGCGAACUCCUCCCCGCAAGGGUCCUUGAAGCAAUUAUCGAGGUUCUAAGCCGCAUUCUGGAAAGAGAGCAAUAUAUGGCGUCAACUAAGAGUGGACUUCUUAUCCUAGUUAUUAUAUAGCCUCGGGGACCUGGCCACCAGACAAAUAUAAUCGAAGAGUACCUACUUACAGUAAAUGAUACAAACCUGCACAAUGUAAUAAAUAUUACCUCUUGAAUUUAUCCCAUCACCCACAAUAUCCUACUUUUUCCGUGACAACCUACUAACCAGUCGGUUUUGAGUCUUUUGACGCUUUCUUACAGAAAUACAACAUGGCAUCAUCGGCACUGCAAAAGGGUGCCGCGUCAUGUUAAAUUUCGAUAAUCUCCUAAACAAAUCAAUUUUUUUAAUAUCUUCAGUAUAAUAAUAGCCAUCAUGCUGUAAAUAUAUUGGACUAAACCAACAUAACUUUUAUUUCCCCUGCACGAGCAGUUAAAAGUGUCGGCUGAAAACACUAAAAUCUAUUAAUGCUUGGAUUUAGCAAAACCUUGAACACAGCCCACCUAAAAAUUCCAAAAGCGGCCNNNNNNNNNNNNNNNNNNNNNNNNNNNNNNNNNNNNNNNNNNNNNNNNNNNCAUGCUGCUUUUAACAAACACGGUAUUCCUGAACCAGUUCUGCCACAGGCAUAUAGUGAAUCUUAAUGGUAAUUCGGAUAAAAUACUCAUUGAAGGAAACCUAGAACAUUACCUGAUUGCAAGUGCGAGCAUAUUAUGGAACACUAUAAUCAAGUUAGACCCCAUUACAUGGUUGCAAGUGCAAGCAUAUUAUGGAACACCCUAAUCAAGUUUUAAUUAUUUUUUUGCUGCCAGGAACAGGUUUGCAGCCACUACAACAUCAAGUACAUAACCAAAGACGCCAUCAGAAUUUUACGCUUCAAAGCUCAUUCUCUACCACAAGCCAUGCCUCACCUACAAGAGGAAAAUAAAAUAAAAUGUUAGAAAUUCAGCUAGAGCAAUCAUAUUGCACACGAGAAAGAUAGAAACCCUUAAAUAUAGUUUGAUGGGGCUGCCUUCUCCAAAACAGAUACGGAAUACAAGAAAGCUACACUGGCAAGUAAAACUCCAUAGCUCUCAGGAGAUGUUUCUCAUAAUUCAUAUAUUUCUUCUUUCCUAAAAUAAAAAUAUGUUGCAGAAGAAGCUCCAUUCGCUAUUUCUACUGAAUUGUAUGUAAUUCCUUUUGCAGAUCAUACAUCACAUCAAGAUUGCGGCCAGAUUGUCCAUGCAAAAGAGGACCAAGCAAAAAGCAGCAUUUCUUACGAUAAGACAGCCAUCUACAUGUGGAUGUACUAUUCUGAGUGCUCAUGAUAAAAUUAUACAUUCUGUUUUUUUGAGUGAAUGAUACAAUAACACUUCAUUUUGCAUGCCACGGACAAUUGAUUCUUAUUUGUUGAGUUAUGAUUGAAAGGGUGCAACCAUUUGGGAAAUUCAGGUCAGACCACAUUAAAUUUUCUAGGAAGCAAAUAAUAAUGUUCACCAUUUCUUAAAUUAUGAUUAAAAGGGUGCAACCAUUUAAGGUGGUUGGAAAUGCUGGUCAGACCACAUUAGAUUUUCUGGGAAGUGUAAGCAAAAUAAUGCUCACCAUUUCAGGUACAAGAACAGGCGCAUCAGUGCCUGCGUCGGCCCGCAUCUUCAGUGGAACGAUGGUCAUACCUAUCAUGCCUUCGGUGCUGCCGAGAAUCUUCAUAUCUUCUCCUCUUAGCACCAUCAUAGCUCUGCUCAUCUUUACUGUACCUUCUGCUACCAUACUUAUCUUCAUUUACAUGUUCUUCUAAUGCCCGUUUAUCACCAACUUUUUGCAAUAUGGAGUUGUCCUCCCUCUUCCGUUCUUCUCGGCUUCCAUGGUAGUUCUUAUGACCUCUGCUCUCACUCUCUCUCCUUCUCUCCCCUUCUACUAAACCAACACUAGUAGAUUUCGAUUCCCGUACACCAGCAGAUGGGCGACCAUGUACAGCCUCUCUCCUUUUCUUUGCUUCCUGGCUUCCAUGGUCAUCAAUGUCCUUCCUAUCUUGCCUUGAUUCAAACUGGUUAGUUCUUUCAGCCUUCUUUGGAAUAUCUGAGUAUUCUCUCUUAAUACUGUCAUUACCAUUUUGACGCUCACUUCCAGCAUUUCUGUUAUUAUCCCGCCUGCCUGUUUUUCUCCUAUCCUGCUUCACGGGCCUAUUGCUAUUAUCAGAAUUUGUGUCACUGCUAUGAGUAAGAGCUCUGGCUUCCACUGUCAUCAGUCACUGAAUCUUGCUUCUGUUUAGAUUUACUGUAUUUCACAACUUGAUUGCCAGCAGUUUCAUUACCACUAUCAGUAUAGGAGCUCUCAUCAUCAGUAUCAUGCCUUCUCCCCAUUCUCCUGUUACCACGUGUUUUCCCUUCAGCAACCUUCCUUGAUCUAACAUGAUGAGAUUCAUGAGAAGCACUAUGUUUUCUGCUCUUAUUUUUCUUUUCACUGUCAGAGUCAAAAUCAUAAUUCAUAUGCCAUCUGCUUAGUUUGCUACUCUCCAUCCCUUUUUUUAGGUUCUUUUCAUCUUCAGUAUCAUAAUCUGGAUCCUCAGAAUCAUGUCUCCUUCUGUUGUUCUCAUGUUUCUUGAGAUUGAUGGCAAUUUUCUUUUCACUGUCAGUAUCUGAGUCAUUGGUCUUGCGUCUUUUGCUGGAUUCACCAUGUUUCCCCGUCCCCUUUGUUCUCCUUUUCUUUUCAUCAUCAGUAUCAUAUUCUGAAUCUUCAGAAUCAUGCCUUCUUCUGCUUUUUCCAUGUUUCCUAUAAUUGAUGGCAUUUUUCUUUCGAUCGUCAGAUUCAGAGUCGCUGCUCUUGUACCUUCCAAUGGGUCUGCGAUGUUUGUCUGCUUGCUUUCUGCUUUUCUCAUCAUCAUCAGUUUCUGGUUCCGAAUCAUCAGAGUCGUGUCUCUUAUUUUUUGUCCAUUGCCUCCCCACAUGUUUUUUCUUGUCCUGAGCAUUUCUGUCUGAAUCUGAAUCAGAGUCAUGUCUCUUAUUUUUUGUCCAUUGCCUCCCCACUAGUUUUUUGCUUGUCCUGAGCAUUUCUGUCUGAAUCUGAAUCAGUAUCAUGCCUCCUAUGUUUCUUGACAUAUUUCUCUGGUUCUCUUCUGGCAUUUUCCUCCUCAGAUUCACUGUCAGAAUCUGAUGAUGAGUCACUAACAGAAUCGGAAUCAUCAGUUUGCUGAUUUUCAUUCUUCUUUCCUUGCAUUUUGAAACCCCUUUUUUUGUCCUUCUGACUGCUUGGGACAUCAGAAUCAUGUCUGCGUGCACUUUUUCCAAGCCGCUUCUUGCUCCGGACAUCAGAAUCAUGUCUGCGCACACUUUUUCCAUGUUUCCUCUUUUCCAAUUCAAUACUUCUACUGCUAUCACUAUCGGAACCAUCCUUGUAUUUUCCCUUUCUGAUAUCUUUGUCAUGGUGCUUCAGCUCAUCAUUUGGAGACCUCCUGCCUUCAUUGUUCUUCUUUUCCUUCUCGUUUAUGUCCUUCAGACCUUUCUCACUUCCGAAUCUUUCCACCACCUGUUUUUUCCUCUUACUAUCCACAUGGCUGUCAUCAUAUUUUUCCUGUUGCCUGUCAGAGUCCUUUGGAUUCGUUUUAUGCUCUUGAUAUUUCUCAUCAACAAGUUCUCCAGGCUCUAAGUCACUUUCUUUGUCCUGCUGAUUUUCUUCUUGUUGUUCAUGUUCAGAUGAUUUCUUCCUGUCUUCUAUCUUAAGAGCUGCUCUCAAAGUUUCAAGUUGUUUCUCCUUAAGUGCAGCAAUAUGAUGGGUCUGUGUAUCUGUAAACCUAAAACAUAAUAAUACCAUAAGUAAAACUGGUUAAACCUUAAAAUAUAGUUAACACCUACAAUACAACAUCCAAAUAGGAACUUUCAGCUUAUUCAGCCCUAUCUUUCUUUUAAGCAAGAUUGAAAAGUAACUACUGAAACAGAAGCUUUAAAAGAACUCAGGGCACACAUAAACAUUCAGAUACUUAUGGCACAUUAACAAGCAUAAUGUCACUUAUGGCACAUUAUGUUUUCAUAUUGUGUGCUCCUUUUUACCAACCAAGGUUUAGAGUACAAGUACACAUUCUCAUAGUCACCACAGUUAUCAACAUAGAAUCUGGUGUGGGAAAAAAAUAAAGAAGUCAGACGGGAAAUGAUGACAGAAAAAAAAUCAUAAUGUCAGAAAUGAGAUAUGCUAUGUUAAUAUAGGCAGAAAAUUGUAUAUAUCAAAAAAAAUCUAUACGAUGAUAUGAAACUAUGACGAUUCUAGUUUAUGUAUCAGUUUCUCAUUGUUUUCUUGUGCUCAGCGAAGUUUGGUAAAUUUCAUAUAUACGAUUUUAUAUGGAUAUUUGUAAAGUCUCCUUAUAAUAACACUCUCCACAUGCUCUGAUGUGAGAAAAAAGAUGCAUAAAAUGAUAUUAUAAGGGUGUUUUUAUCAAGUCCCUUUCAACCAUUGAUCCCGGUUUAUAAUAAUAUACAAAAAGUCCCUUUUCCAACAGGUAUCUUGUAGGAGUUCUCAUUCACAUGUAAUACAAAAGUGGGAAACCCAAAUUCUGCACUUCAUAAAACAAAUGCUUUGCACCAGUUUCUCAGUUCAGUUUCCCAAGAAACCCUUCUCAAUGUGGGAAUCAUCCCAGCAUCUAUGCACAUAAUGGUACCUUACUGAUAGGUUAGGGACCAGUACAUUACACUUCCAUACCAAACUAUAGAACGCCUGCAUGUGCCAAAACAGCACAAAUGAGCAUAUUAUACAUGUACCUAUAUGAUAUUCGCAUGAGAGCAUACUGGGACUGAUAUUGUAUCCGAUGCAGUCCAGGAUGCACCGGCACUUAAAUCCUUAUUAUUAUCUAACCUUCGAUAUAUAGCUUAUAGAAAAUUACAGAGCUAAGCUAAUCCUACCACUGCAUCGACCUUGAUGAGAAAAUCAGUUCAUCAUUUUAAGAGUCAAAUUUAAAAUAAUUGUAUGGAUCUAAAUCAUUACUACAGAAUAUCAUAAACUUGAGUAGCUUUCGGUAAUCCAAGCAGUAGACAAGCAAAUUGUUCUUCUCAAAUAAAUCAUUGAUGCUUUGAAAUCCUAUGAAUGUACAUAAGAAAAAAGACCCAAUUGGCAUAUUAACAUGAGAAUGGGAAUCGAAAAAAGCCCAAUUGAAAUCCUAUGAAUGAACAAGUCAUUUUAAGUUUUGAUGUAAGACCUUGUCCUGCCCCUAUUGCUGUCUUUCUCUAGGGUAUCUAUGGCUCAACAAGUGUAAACACAAAACAUUAAUCCUUUUCCAUUUUUAUGUCUUUAUUAGACAAGGUCUGUAGGAUACCUGACAUGAGGUAGUGCUCUCUCAGAUAUUUGUUAACUCCCCAAAUCUUGGUGAAGGUUUAAUCCUAGGUCUCUUGGCAGCAAUAGUUUUUACCAACUUUUUAUGCUGGCACCAUAAGAACAUUAUUCCUUUUCUUUUCAUUCUCUCAUUAUGAUAUAUUUUGCCAUAUUUGUCUUCAUAGAGAUUGAUUUAACUUGAUAUGCAACUCGCUUCUUUUGGGGUUUGUUUUCAAAUGAAUAAUGUAUGGCUUUUUCCUUUUACCUUUUUACCUAUUCAUCCUUGAAUGAAAUGGUUAAUUUGGAUCCUAUUUUAAGAUAUAUAAAACAUGGAUGAUUACACACUGAUGCCCUAAUGCACCUUUUUUUUUAAGUUGUAAACAAAGACUUUAGCUUGUUGUUGGCUUGUUCUGUGUUGCUAAAGCAUUGAUGUAGCAAUUGGGAAUAUGCCAAAGUCGAUACUUGAUUGAUUCUUACCAUAUUUUUAUUGCUUUGUUGUUAUAUUCGAUUCCCAUUCUCAUGUUUUCUCAUAUUCUUGUUCAUUUUUUAAAGUUUUUCUUAUUUUUAUAUGCUUCAACCUCCUUUCGCUGAAAUAAGCUCUAAAAUGGAAAUCUUAACAUUUGCAGCUAAUAAGAUGAAAAAUGAAAGCAAAGGAAAGGGCCUCAAAUUUGCAUAGUAGAGGGUCUUUUUCUUACGUACAUUCAUAGGAUUUCAAAGCAUCAAUGAUUUCUUUGAGAAGAACAAUUUGCUUGUCUACAGCUUGGAUUACCGAAAGCUACUCAAGUUUAUGAUAUUCUGUAGUAAUGAUUUAGAUCUAUACAAUUAUUUUAAAUUUGACUCUUAAAAUGAUGAAUUGAUUUUCUCAUCAAGGUCGAUGCAGUGGUAGGAUUAGCUUAGCUCUGUAAUUUUCUAUAAGCUAUAUAUCGAAGGUUAGAUAAUAAUAAGGAUUUAAGUGCCGGUGCAUCCUGGACUGCAUCGGAUACAAUAUCAGUACCAGUAUGCUCUCAUGCGAAUAUCGUAUAGGUACAUGUAUAAUAUGCUCAUUUGUGCUGUUUUGGCACAUGCAGGCGUUCUAUAGUUUGGUAUGGAAGUGUAAUGUACUGGUCCCUAACCUAUCAGUAAGGUACCAUUAUGUGUAUAGAUGCUGGGAUGAUUCCCACAUUGAGAAGGGUUUCUUGGGAAACUGAACUGAGAAACUGGUGCAAAGCAUUUGUUUUAUGAAGUGCAAAAUUUGGGUUUCCCACUUUUGUAUUACAUGUGAAUGAGAACUCCUACAAGAUACCUGUUGGAAAAGGGACUUUUUGUAUAUUAUUAUAAACCGGGAUCAAUGGUUGAAAGGGGCUUGAUAAAAACACCCUUAUAAUAUCAUUUUAUGCAUCUUUUUUCUCACAUCAGAGCAUGUGGAGAGUGUUAUUAUAAGGAGACUUUACAAAUAUCCAUAUAAAAUUGUAUAUAUGAAAUUUAUCAAACUUUGCUGAGCACAAGAAAACAAUAAGAAACUGAUACAUAAACUAGAAUCGUCAUAGUUUCAUAUCAGUCAUUUUAAGUUUUGAUGUAAGACCUUGUCCUGCCCCUAUUGCUGUCUUUCUCUAGGGUAUCUAUGGCUCAACAAGUGUAAACACAAAACAUUAAUCCUUUUCCAUUUUUAUGUCUUUAUUAGACAAGGUCUGUAGGAUACCUGACAUGAGGUAGUGCUCUCUCAGAUAUUUGUUAACUCCCCAAAUCUUGGUGAAGGUUUAAUCCUAGGUCUCUUGGCAGCAAUAGUUUUUACCAACUUUUUAUGCUGGCACCAUAAGAACAUUAUUCCUUUUCUUUUCAUUCUCUCAUUAUGAUAUAUUUUGCCAUAUUUGUCUUCAUAGAGAUUGAUUUAACUUGAUAUGCAACUCGCUUCUUUUGGGGUUUGUUUUCAAAUGAAUAAUGUAUGGCUUUUUCCUUUUACCUUUUUACCUAUUCAUCCUUGAAUGAAAUGGUUAAUUUGGAUCCUAUUUUAAGAUAUAUAAAACAUGGAUGAUUACACACUGAUGCCCUAAUGCACCUUUUUUUUUAAGUUGUAAACAAAGACUUUAGCUUGUUGUUGGCUUGUUCUGUGUUGCUAAAGCAUUGAUGUAGCAAUUGGGAAUAUGCCAAAGUCGAUACUUGAUUGAUUCUUACCAUAUUUUUAUUGCUUUGUUGUUAUAUUCGAUUCCCAUUCUCAUGUUUUCUCAUAUUCUUGUUCAUUCAUAGGAUUUCAAUUGGGCUUUUUUCGAUUCCCAUUCUCAUGUUAAUAUGCCAAUUGGGUCUUUUUUCUUAUGUACAUUCAUAGGAUUUCAAAGCAUCAAUGAUUUAUUUGAGAAGAACAAUUUGCUUGUCUACUGCUUGGAUUACCGAAAGCUACUCAAGUUUAUGAUAUUCUGUAGUAAUGAUUUAGAUCCAUACAAUUAUUUUAAAUUUGACUCUUAAAAUGAUGAACUGAUUUUCUCAUCAAGGUCGAUGCAGUGGUAGGAUUAGCUUAGCUCUGUAAUUUUCUAUAAGCUAUAUAUCGAAGGUUAGAUAAUAAUAAGGAUUUAAGUGCCGGUGCAUCCUGGACUGCAUCGGAUACAAUAUCAGUCCCAGUAUGCUCUCAUGCGAAUAUCAUAUAGGUACAUGUAUAAUAUGCUCAUUUGUGCUGUUUUGGCACAUGCAGGCGUUCUAUAGUUUGGUAUGGAAGUGUAAUGUACUGGUCCCUAACCUAUCAGUAAGGUACCAUUAUGUGCAUAGAUGCUGGGAUGAUUCCCACAUUGAGAAGGGUUUCUUGGGAAACUGAACUGAGAAACUGGUGCAAAGCAUUUGUUUUAUGAAGUGCAGAAUUUGGGUUUCCCACUUUUGUAUUACAUGUGAAUGAGAACUCCUACAAGAUACCUGUUGGAAAAGGGACUUUUUGUAUAUUAUUAUAAACCGGGAUCAAUGGUUGAAAGGGACUUGAUAAAAACACCCUUAUAAUAUCAUUUUAUGCAUCUUUUUUCUCACAUCAGAGCAUGUGGAGAGUGUUAUUAUAAGGAGACUUUACAAAUAUCCAUAUAAAAUCGUAUAUAUGAAAUUUACCAAACUUCGCUGAGCACAAGAAAACAAUGAGAAACUGAUACAUAAACUAGAAUCGUCAUAGUUUCAUAUCAUCGUAUAGAUUUUUUUUGAUAUAUACAAUUUUCUGCCUAUAUUAACAUAGCAUAUCUCAUUUCUGACAUUAUGAUUUUUUUUCUGUCAUCAUUUCCCGUCUGACUUCUUUAUUUUUUUCCCACACCAGAUUCUAUGUUGAUAACUGUGGUGACUAUGAGAAUGUGUACUUGUACUCUAAACCUUGGUUGGUAAAAAGGAGCACACAAUAUGAAAACAUAAUGUGCCAUAAGUGACAUUAUGCUUGUUAAUGUGCCAUAAGUAUCUGAAUGUUUAUGUGUGCCCUGAGUUCUUUUAAAGCUUCUGUUUCAGUAGUUACUUUUCAAUCUUGCUUAAAAGAAAGAUAGGGCUGAAUAAGCUGAAAGUUCCUAUUUGGAUGUUGUAUUGUAGGUGUUAACUAUAUUUUAAGGUUUAACCAGUUUUACUUAUGGUAUUAUUAUGUUUUAGGUUUACAGAUACACAGACCCAUCAUAUUGCUGCACUUAAGGAGAAACAACUUGAAACUUUGAGAGCAGCUCUUAAGAUAGAAGACAGGAAGAAAUCAUCUGAACAUGAACAACAAGAAGAAAAUCAGCAGGACAAAGAAAGUGACUUAGAGCCUGGAGAACUUGUUGAUGAGAAAUAUCAAGAGCAUAAAACGAAUCCAAAGGACUCUGACAGGCAACAGGAAAAAUAUGAUGACAGCCAUGUGGAUAGUAAGAGGAAAAAACAGGUGGUGGAAAGAUUCGGAAGUGAGAAAGGUCUGAAGGACAUAAACGAGAAGGAAAAGAAGAACAAUGAAGGCAGGAGGUCUCCAAAUGAUGAGCUGAAGCACCAUGACAAAGAUAUCAGAAAGGGAAAAUACAAGGAUGGUUCCGAUAGUGAUAGCAGUAGAAGUAUUGAAUUGGAAAAGAGGAAACAUGGAAAAAGUGUGCGCAGACAUGAUUCUGAUGUCCGGAGCAAGAAGCGGCUUGGAAAAAGUGCACGCAGACAUGAUUCUGAUGUCCCAAGCAGUCAGAAGGACAAAAAAAGGGGUUUCAAAAUGCAAGGAAAGAAGAAUGAAAAUCAGCAAACUGAUGAUUCCGAUUCUGUUAGUGACUCAUCAUCAGAUUCUGACAGUGAAUCUGAGGAGGAAAAUGCCAGAAGAGAACCAGAGAAAUAUGUCAAGAAACAUAGGAGGCAUGAUACUGAUUCAGAUUCAGACAGAAAUGCUCAGGACAAGCAAAAAACUAGUGGGGAGGCAAUGGACAAAAAAUAAGAGACAUGACUCUGAUUCAGAUUCAGACAGAAAUGCUCAGGACAAGAAAAAACAUGUGGGGAGGCAAUGGACAAAAAAUAAGAGACACGAC
rnacentral:lncRNA from 1 species